rnacentral:rRNA from 1 species
AGAGUUUGAUCAUGGCUCAGAUUGAACGCUGGCGGCAGGCCUAACACAUGCAAGUCGAGCGGAUGACGGGAGCUUGCUCCUUGAUUCAGCGGCGGACGGGUGAGUAAUGCCUAGGAAUCUGCCUGGUAGUGGGGGACAACGUUUCGAAAGGAACGCUAAUACCGCAUACGUCCUACGGGAGAAAGCAGGGGACCUUCGGGCCUUGCGCUAUCAGAUGAGCCUAGGUCGGAUUAGCUAGUUGGUGGGGUAAUGGCUCACCAAGGCGACGAUCCGUAACUGGUCUGAGAGGAUGAUCAGUCACACUGGAACUGAGACACGGUCCAGACUCCUACGGGAGGCAGCAGUGGGGAAUAUUGGACAAUGGGCGAAAGCCUGAUCCAGCAAUGCCGCGUGUGUGAAGAAGGCCUUCGGGUUGUAAAGCACUUUUGUCCGGAAAGAAAUCCUUGGCUCUAAUACAGUCGGGGGAUGACGGUACCGGAAGAAUAAGCACCGGCUAACUACGUGCCAGCAGCCGCGGUAAUACGUAGGGUGCAAGCGUUAAUCGGAAUUACUGGGCGUAAAGCGUGCGCAGGCGGUUAUGCAAGACAGAGGUGAAAUCCCCGGGCUCAACCUGGGAACUGCCUUUGUGACUGCAUAGCUAGAGUACGGUAGAGGGGGAUGGAAUUCCGCGUGUAGCAGUGAAAUGCGUAGAUAUGCGGAGGAACACCGAUGGCGAAGGCAAUCCCCUGGACCUGUACUGACGCUCAUGCACGAAAGCGUGGGGAGCAAACAGGAUUAGAUACCCUGGUAGUCCACGCCCUAAACGAUGUCAACUGGUUGUUG